rnacentral:lncRNA from 1 species
AGCAGAUAAGGGUCUGUUUUUGCAGAGUCCGUUCUUUGUCCGUGACUAUGUUUUGGUGAAUGAAAUCAUCACAGUGCAGACAGCAGUGUGACUAUACAGGAAAGGAGGCCACUAGCCCCUUAGUUACAAUCCCCACUAGGUUGUGUGCUCCCAGCUUUGGACAAGUCAUUUAACCUUUGUGUGGCUCCUCUUCUCAAAGCCCUUGACAUUCUGCACAGCCAGCAGAAUGGCACAUUUCUUAAUGGCAACUGGGAAUCAAAAAGGAACUUCAAAGUGAGAAGUAAAAAUAACUGGAAGGCUUUGGUGGCCAAAUUAAGAGAGAUGAAAGUCAACCUCCCAUUGAGAUCAGAAGAGCUGGACUCCCUCUCCAGUGCCUGGAUGACCAGCAUAAGCCAUUCUCAACAGCAACAGUGGGAAGAUGAUUGCAGGAAGGAAUGUGGAGGGAAAGAAAUAAAAUAAGCCCCAUAUGACAGAUACCAGUCCCAUUGUACUACUGAAGAGGCCUACAGCGAACUGCUAGAGAAGAACUUGUAUGAAAUGCAAUGAAGUUGGUAACAUAAUGGGAGAUGCCCUGAAGAAUGGCUUUAAGUAAGACACCCGAAUAUAUCUAGGCCAAUUGAAGAAUGAGGAGGAAUACCAAGCAACCCUUCCUGCUGGUGAGAUCUACUAGACUAGGCUCCAUCAUUACAGAAUAGACAGAACAGAAAUGUGAUCAGUCAUACUCAAACAGAAAGAUAUAGACUAUUCCUACUCUUGGGAAUUCAACAUAGCAAGAGCUAUCUGCUUUGAGGGAGAUAGAAACAAAACAGAAGCUAGAGGAGACUAGCUACAGAUUUAUUUUUGCAAAAACAGCAGAUGCAUGGAAGGGUUGACCUACACAGUAUAUUAAAUAUAGCACUUGGCCUUCAUCACUACUUAUUGUUUGAUAUGUCUUCUCUCCACAGCUCAGAAGCAUGAAUCCUCAUCAAUUAAACAAUGCUGGAUGUAGUUUUAAAACCCUGCUCCAGAGCCACAUCCAGAAACUCAAGACAACUGGCUAUAUCUGAGCCAGUGGAUUUUGACUUGAAAACAAAGAAAAACCCUCCUAUGAACUGAAAGGUCUAUUGCUAUCAGUUUGUCCUCAUUGAAAAAGAACCAUUAUCUGCUUCCUUAGGGUCAAAGGCAAAUAAUUUAUGAAUACAAGAGAAUAAGGAUAAAGGAAUCCUCCAACCAGAGGACUAUACAUUUUGAGACAGCCUGUUGUUGUCAGAUCGUGGCAUGGUGUUCCCAUUGUCACUGGUCUGAUUAAACAGGGAAAUUGGUUAAAAAAAAAAGAAAUAAAUAAAUAAAGCUCAGAGUUUUUCA